GAUAUUUUGCAUUUAACACUACAUUUAUUGUUUGCUGCCAUUACAGAUCCUGGUGAUGGGCUGCCUUGUUUGAUGUCUUGCAAGUCAAUGUGUGUGAGUUCCAGAGGAUCAUCACACUGAAUCUUGAGCCAAAAUUCACAUCAAUGUUGGACUUGUAUUCCCCCAAACAGCUGUCCCUGUCCAAGGCGAAGAAGGGUGCUGCAGGCGAGUGACAUCGGGCAGAUAGUGGAAUCUUCAUUCAACAAAACAAGAGGUCAUCAUCCGAUGUCUCCUUGACCACCUGGGAGAAGAUACAAGUGCCUUGAUGAAGGACUUUGAGGUUAGUAAAAUAGUUUUCAG